rnacentral:ncRNA from 1 species
UCCUUUAAAUAGGACAACGUGUAUAAACCAUACGCUCCCCCUUACAAUACGUGAGAGGGAGCGAUUUU